rnacentral:rRNA from 1 species
CAAUAGCGUAUAUUAAAGCUGUUGCGGUUAAAAAGCUCGUAGUUGGAUUUCUGUCAAGGACAACUGGUCCGCCCUCCGGGUGAGCACAUAGUUUGGUCUUGCCAUCUUGCUGGAAGCUGUUGCUGCACUUGGCUGUGUGGCGCAGUGUUCAGCACUUUCACUUUGAGGAAAUUGGAGUGUUUCAAGCAGGCACAUGCCUUUGGACACAGUAGCAUGGAAUAAUUAGAUUGGGCUUUUGCUCCAAUUUGUCGGUUUCUGGAGCUGAGGUGAGUAUUAAUGGGGAUUGUUGGGGGCAUCCGAAUUUAGCCGUCAGAGGUGAAAUUCUUGGAUCUGCUAAAGACGGACAACUGCGAAAGCGUUUGCCCAGGAUGUUUUCAUUGA